CUUCUGCUGUGAUGAAUUUAUGAAAUGAUUCACAUGUCAGACUUCAGAGAUUUUCAAUCAAUGAGAAGAAAUUUCAUCUCUCUGAGCAGAAG
rfam:Jatropha curcas cultivar GZQX0401 scaffold26_112, whole genome shotgun sequence.